rnacentral:rRNA from 1 species
GGUUAAGCGACCAAGCGUACACGGUGGAUGCCCUGGCAGUCAGAGGCGAUGAAGGACGUGCUAAUCUGCGAUAAGCGCCGGUAAGGUGAUAUGAACCGUUAUAACCGGCGAUUUCCGAAUGGGGAAACCCAGUGUGAUUCGUCACACUAUCAUUAACUGAAUCCAUAGGUUAAUGAGGCGAACCGGGGGAACUGAAACAUCUAAGUACCCCGAGGAAAAGAAAUCAACCGAGAUUCCCCCAGUAGCGGCGAGCGAACGGGGAGGAGCCCAGAGCCUGAAUCAGCAUGUGUGUUAGUGGAAGCGUCUGGAAAGGCGCGCGAUACAGGGUGACAGCCCCGUACACAAAAGCGCAUGUGCUGUGAGCUCGAUGAGUAGGGCGGGACACGUGGUAUCCUGUCUGAAUAUGGGGGGACCAUCCUCCAAGGCUAAAUACUCCUGACUGACCGAUAGUGAACCAGUACCGUGAGGGAAAGGCGAAAAGAACCCCGGCGAGGGGAGUGAAACAGAACCUGAAACCGUGUACGUACAAGCAGUGGGAGCACAGGUUUACCUGUGUGACUGCGUACCUUUUGUAUAAUGGGUCAGCGACUUAUAUUCUGUAGCAAGGUUAACCGCAUAGGGGAGCCGAAGGGAAACCGAGUCUUAACCGGGCGUUAAGUUGCAGGGUAUAGACCCGAAACCCGGUGAUCUAGCCAUGGGCAGGUUGAAGGUUGGGUAACACUAACUGGAGGACCGAACCGACUAAUGUUGAAAAAUUAGCGGAUGACCUGUGGCUGGGGGUGAAAGGCCAAUCAAACCGGGAGAUAGCUGGUUCUCCCCGAAAGCUAUUUAGGUAGCGCCUCGUGAACUCAUCUCCGGGGGUAGAGCACUGUUUCGGCUAGGGGGCCAUCCCGGCUUACCAACCCGAUGCAAACUGCGAAUACCGGAGAAUGUUAUCACGGGAGACACACGGCGGGUGCUAACGUCCGUCGUGAAGAGGGAAACAACCCAGACCGCCAGCUAAGGUCCCAAAGUCAUGGUUAAGUGGGAAACGAUGUGGGAAGGCCCAGACAGCCAGGAUGUUGGCUUAGAAGCAGCCAUCAUUUAAAGAAAGCGUAAUAGCUCACUGGUCGAGUCGGCCUGCGCGGAAGAUGUAACGGGGCUAAACCAUGCACCGAAGCUGCGGCAGCGACGCUUAUGCGUUGUUGGGUAGGGGAGCGUUCUGUAAGCCUGCGAAGGUGGCCUGUGAGGGUUGCUGGAGGUAUCAGAAGUGCGAAUGCUGACAUAAGUAACGAUAAAGCGGGUGAAAAGCCCGCUCGCCGGAAGACCAAGGGUUCCUGUCCAACGUUAAUCGGGGCAGGGUGAGUCGACCCCUAAGGCGAGGCCGAAAGGCGUAGUCGAUGGGAAACGGGUUAAUAUUCCCGUACUUGGUGUUACUGCGAAGGGGGGACGGAGAAGGCUAUGUUGGCCGGGCGACGGUUGUCCCGGUUUAAGCGUGUAGGUGUGUGUUCCAGGUAAAUCCGGUUCACUUUAACACUGAGGCGUGAUGACGAGGCACCACGGUGCUGAAGCAACAAAUGCCCUGCUUCCAGGAAAAGCCUCUAAGCAUCAGGUAACAUCAAAUCGUACCCCAAACCGACACAGGUGGUCAGGUAGAGAAUACCAAGGCGCUUGAGAGAACUCGGGUGAAGGAACUAGGCAAAAUGGUGCCGUAACUUCGGGAGAAGGCACGCUGACACGUAGGUGAAGUGGUUUACCCAUGGAGCUGAAGUCAGUCGAAGAUACCAGCUGGCUGCAACUGUUUAUUAAAAACACAGCACUGUGCAAACACGAAAGUGGACGUAUACGGUGUGACGCCUGCCCGGUGCCGGAAGGUUAAUUGAUGGGGUCAGCGCAAGCGAAGCUCCUGAUCGAAGCCCCGGUAAACGGCGGCCGUAACUAUAACGGUCCUAAGGUAGCGAAAUUCCUUGUCGGGUAAGUUCCGACCUGCACGAAUGGCGUAAUGAUGGCCAGGCUGUCUCCACCCGAGACUCAGUGAAAUUGAACUCGCUGUGAAGAUGCAGUGUACCCGCGGCAAGACGGAAAGACCCCGUGAACCUUUACUAUAGCUUGACACUGAACAUUGAGCCUUGAUGUGUAGGAUAGGUGGGAGGCUUUGAAGCGUGGACGCCAGUCUGCGUGGAGCCAACCUUGAAAUACCACCCUUUAAUGUUUGAUGUUCUAACGUGGACCCGUGAUCCGGGUUGCGGACAGUGUCUGGUGGGUAGUUUGACUGGGGCGGUCUCCUCCUAAAGAGUAACGGAGGAGCACGAAGGUUGGCUAAUCCUGGUCGGACAUCAGGAGGUUAGUGCAAUGGCAUAAGCCAGCUUGACUGCGAGCGUGACGGCGCGAGCAGGUGCGAAAGCAGGUCAUAGUGAUCCGGUGGUUCUGAAUGGAAGGGCCAUCGCUCAACGGAUAAAAGGUACUCCGGGGAUAACAGGCUGAUACCGCCCAAGAGUUCAUAUCGACGGCGGUGUUUGGCACCUCGAUGUCGGCUCAUCACAUCCUGGGGCUGAAGUAGGUCCCAAGGGUAUGGCUGUUCGCCAUUUAAAGUGGUACGCGAGCUGGGUUUAGAACGUCGUGAGACAGUUCGGUCCCUAUCUGCCGUGGGCGCUGGAGAACUGAGGGGGGCUGCUCCUAGUACGAGAGGACCGGAGUGGACGCAUCACUGGUGUUCGGGUUGUCAUGCCAAUGGCACUGCCCGGUAGCUAAAUGCGGAAGAGAUAAGUGCUGAAAGCAUCUAAGCACGAAACUUGCCCCGAGAUGAGUUCUCCCUGAGACUUAGAGUCUCCUGAAGGAACGUUGAAGACGACGACGUUGAUAGGCCGGGUGUGUAAGCGCAGCGAUGCGUUGAGCUAACCGGUACUAAUGAACCGUGAGGCUUAACCUU